rnacentral:lncRNA from 1 species
UGUAUAACACGCCUACUGUUGUUGUCGGAAUCAUCCGUAGCAAUCCUACCCAAGUAUGUCAAUCGUAAUUAUUUUGUCAACCGCAACAAAAUUGGCAAUACACGUCUCGCAGUAAAUGAUUAAUUAUAAAAAAUUGUUUCAGAAAAAACUGUUAGUUUUUGUAUGAAUAGAACUUAUCAUCCAAUUAGUAAAAUUGUAUUAGAUACCGUGAAAAAAAUCUAACAAGUUUUAUUUGUGGUAUGUCUAAUAAGUUACAAAUUUUCCCAUGACGUCAAUGUCAUUCAGAAUCUCUCUUGACUUUACGUAUGAAAUGAAACAAGAUCAGAUAACU